AUACUUACCUGGUGUGGUGGUUAACCGUGAUCAUUAAGGCGGUUCUGCCAGGUUGAGGCUUUUCCAUUGCACUUCGGAUUAGCUGAAGCCUGCGAGUAUCCCAAAUGUGGAUACCUCGGACACGUAAUUUUUGGUAGUCGGGAUUGCGUCCGCGCAAUCUCGGU